GAUGAACGCUGGCGGCGUGCCUAAUACAUGCAAGUCGAGCGAACGGACGAGAAGCUUGCUCCUCUGAUGUUAGCGGCGGACGGGUGAGUAACACGUGGAUAACCUACCUAUAAGACUGGGAUAACUUCGGGAAACCGGAGCUAAUACCGGAUAAUAUUUUGAACCGCAUGGUUCAAAAGUAAAAGACGGUCUUGCUGUCACUUAUAGAUGGAUCCGCGCUGCAUUAGCUAGUUGGUAAGGUAACGGCUUACCAAGGCAACGAUGCAUAGCCGACCUGAGAGGGUGAUCGGCCACACUGGAACUGAGACACGGUCCAGACUCCUACGGGAGGCAGCAGUAGGGAAUCUUCCGCAAAGGGCGAAAGCCUGACGGAGCAACGCCGCGUGAGUGAUGAAGGUCUUCGGAUCGUAAAACUCUGUUAUUAGGGAAGAACAUAUGUGUAAGUAACUGUGCACAUCUUGACGGUACCUAAUCAGAAAGCCACGGCUAACUACGUG
rnacentral:rRNA from 1 species